CGCAACCUCGACCUUAGUUGCCAGCAUUCAGUUGGGCACUCUAAGGUGACUGCCGGCUAAAAGUCGGAGGAAGGUGGGAUGACGUCAAAUCAUCAUGCCCUUAUGACCUGGGCUACACACGUGCUACAAUGGGCGGUACAAAGGGUCGCGAACCCGCGAGGGGAGCCAAUCCCAAAAAGCCGCUCUCAGUUCGGAUUGCAGGCUGCAACUCGCCUGCAUGAAGCCGGAAUCGCUAGUAAUCGCGGAUCAGCAUGCCGCGGUGAAUACGUUCCCGGGCCUU
rnacentral:rRNA from 1 species